UUUCCGUAGGUGAACCUGCGGAAGGAUCAUUAUUGGAUUUUGAAACUUCAGGCUGCUGCUGGCUCUCCUCGGAGGGCAUGUGCACGCUUGUUGUCCAUUAUUUCUCCCUCUGUGCACAAAUUGUAGACCUUUCAGUAGGCCUAUGUUGUUUUUCACAAUCUCUGAAUGUAAUAGAAUGGUUUUGAAUCUUGGGAAAUACAAUACAACUUUCAGCAACGGAUCUCUUGGCUCUC
rnacentral:misc_RNA from 1 species